rnacentral:lncRNA from 9 species
AUGUGUGUGAGAAAGAGGGAAGGGAGAAAGGAAGAGAGAGAGGAAGGAAGGAAUAAGAAAGAUGAAAGAAAGGGAAGGAAGGAAGGAAAGAAAGAAAAAGAAAGAAAGAAAGAGAAAGAAAGGGGAAGCCAUAAGAUCAGAAUGUUUGCUUGACUUUUGAUUCAUGCAUUUAUUUAUUCACUACUCAUUUAGAAAAUAUUUAUGCUUACCAUGUACCAGAAACUGUGAUAGGUAGCCAGAAUAGAAAGUCAAAAUAAAUUUUGUUCAUGCCGCUAUGGAGUUUAAAGUCUAAUGGGGAGGAACAAAGGCAAAUCAUUAUAAUACUAGUACCAUGUUAGAGAGAUGCAGAGUGACAGUGAGGGCUCAGAGGAGGAAAGGCUUCCUCAUUAAGAUACAGUCUUUUAAAGUAUAUAUUAUUCAAUAGGAUAUGUAUCUUACUUUACUACUUCUUUUUUUUUUUUUUUGGCUUCUAAGUUCUCUAAGUUAGCUUACUUAUAGUCUUUGAACCAUCCAUUUAAAACACUAUGUCACAUAAACACAUAAACUUUAAAAAAAUAUUUAAUGAACAUUUGCUUAUAUGCAAAGCUUGGGAUCAGUUUGUUUGCUACCUAUAAAGAAAAAAAGUGGAAUUUCAGUAUGGAAAAACAGACAAUUAGAAAAUGAAAAUGAGCAAAAAACAGUUUUAAAGAGAGCACCUGAAAAAUAUGUUUUCAGAAAUUGAAGGUCAAAGAGGGGUAAAGCACAUCAGAGAAAAUGAGUUCCUUAAUCUCAUGGAACCAGAAUUGCCUAUUGAGCAUACAGCUUAUGACAAAAUAAUUGUCCAGUAAUUACUCUAAAAGAUGGAACAAAAUCAAAUUAAAAUGGAGCAAAUUGCCUUUUGCAUUGUGGCCAAUGGCAAGUAGCAACACUUUCACUGCUGCAAAAUACUUUCUUUUUUGUGAGGGGUGACUGAUUAAUCAGCGGUUAAGUGAUCAGUUAGGUUACCCCAUGUAAAAUCUUCUGUAACCCCAUCUUCUAGAGGAAUUGCAAAGUUUAUUAUUGCUACUGCUAUAUGGGGCAGUUUCAUAUUCAGUAAUGAAAAAGCAUAUGGCUUAGGCCAUACACAUGUUUAUGUGGCCAGUAUUACAGUUCAUAAUUACUGGGUGCUUGCUAUGGGUCAGGGACUGUUCCAGGUAAUUUACAAAUAUCAAUUCAUUUUAUAUGCACGAAUGUGGCAGCUAGGGAGCCUUUUAAUUUUUUAGAUGAAUAACUGAGACAUGGAAAGGUUCAGGAUGUUGCUGGAAACCUUCACAGAGAGCCAAAGGUAUACCCAGAAUUGGAAACCAGGCAUACUGUGUGCAGAGCAGGUGUUCUCAGUCAUAGAACAAUGUG